rnacentral:rRNA from 1 species
CCUACGGGAGGCAGCAGUAAGGAAUAUUGGUCAAUGGGCGCAAGCCUGAACCAGCCAUGCCGCGUGCAGGAUGACGGCCCUCUGGGUUGUAAACUGCUUUUAUACGGGAAGAACAGCAUCUACGUGUAGGUGUUUGACGGUACUGUAAGAAUAAGGACCGGCGUAACUUACGUGCAGCAGCCGCGGUAAUACGAAGGGUCCGAACGCGUUAUCCGGAUUUAUUGGGUUUAAAGGGUUAGCGUAGGCGGCUUUUUAAGUUCAGUGGUGAAAGCCUGAUGCUCAACAUCAGAACUGCCAUUGAUACUGAAGAGCUUGAGUACAGUUGAGGUUGGCGGAAUGUGUCAUGUAGCGGUGAAAUGCUUAGAUAUGACACAGAACACCGAUUGCGAAGGCAGCUAGCUAAGCUGUUACUGACGCUGAUGCACGAAAGCGUGGGGAGCAAACAGGAUUAGAUACCCUGGUAGUCCACGCCCUAAACGUUGAUAACUCGUUGUUAGCGAUAUACUGUUAGCGACCAAGCGAAAGCAUUAAAGUUAUCCAACCUGGGAAGUUACGGUUGCAAGAUUGAAACUUCAAAGGAAUUGACCGG